GAGAGAGAGAGAGAGAGAGAGAGAGAGAGAGAGAGAGAGAGAGAGAGAGAGUCUUUCGUUUAUGGUUUCAGAAAAGUUUGUUAUGUAAUUGUUUUCGUUUUGGCGGCGCCCCGGAAAGCAGGAAGACGAGGGAGCGAUAUUGUAAACUUUGCUCUAAACUUUCCUUCUGCCUCUCGCGGUGACCUGGUUAUAUCUCGGGUGAAGUUUUCUCUGGGACUUAUUACUUUCCUAUUAUUUUUUUUUUCUGUGUGGCAUUUAAAACGGUACAAAAUAGAGGUGUAGGAAAGGGCAUGCAAAUUAUCGCUUCCAUAAAUAUAGGACGCCUGCUUUUCUCUCAAAUGGAAGAAUUAAAAAGAAAACAAGACCGCAGAGUAGCGCUGCCAUAAACAUAUCGACACACACACACACACACACACACACACACACACACACACACACACACACACACACACACACACAUUGGAGACAGAUCAAAUGGCAAUUAAAAAUCCAAUUAUUUCGGAGAUCACAAUUAACCAAACUGUUGCUUCCACGCGCCGGACAGCAUUUCCAAUAGCAUUUUAUUUUUAUUCAUUAUUUACACCAAACAGUUACGGUAUAAAAAAAAUAGCAAACGGUGAAAAGUCCUGCAAAUUAUUGAUCUCAGGCUAGCAUAGGUUAAGAUUAGAUUAGAUUAGGUUAGAUUUUCCUCACGAGCUCGGGACGCUAGCCUGAGGUUCUUAGUCAGUUAGUUAGUUAGUUAGUUAGUUGAUCAGUCAGUUAGGUAUGUAGGGAGAUAGAUAGGAUGUCAGUUAAUUGGUUAGUUUGGCAUGUAGGGAGAUAGAUAGGUAGUUAGUCGGUCAAUUAGUUAGGUGUAUAAGGAGGUAGAUAAUAGUUUGUCAAUUGGUUAGUUAGGCAUGUAGGGAAAUAGAUAGGAUUUCAGUUAAUUGGUUAGUUGGGUUGUUAGUUAGGCAUGUAGGGAGAUAGAUAUGUAGUUAGUCGGUCAGUUAGUUAGGUGUGAAAGGAGGUAGGUAAUAGUUUGUUAAUUGGUUAGUUAGGCAUGUAGGGAGAUAGAUUAGGUAGUUAGUUAGGCAUGUAGGGAGAUAGAUAAGGUAGUUAGGUAGUUAGUUAGGCAUGUAGGGAGAUAGAUAAGGUAGUUAGGUAGUUAUGUAGGGAGAUAGGUUAGUAGGUAGUCCUUUAGUUAGUAUGUUCGUUAGUUGGUGUGGAGUUGAAGUGGAUUAAGGCGGCAGUUUCCAUGCGCGUGUGUGGUUUUGUGGGUCACGGGGUAGUUAACUCGGCGAAGGUUUUCCAUGAGUUUCCUACAAUUUUCUA